UGGGGAAUAUUGCGCAAUGGACGAAAGUCUGACGCAGCGACGCCGCGUGAGGGAUGAAGGUUCUCGGAUCGUAAACCUCUGUCAGAAGGGAAGAAAGGCCAACGUGCUAAUCAGCGUUGGAUUGACGGUACCUUCAAAGGAAGCACCGGCUAACUCCGUGCCAGCAGCCGCGGUAAUACGGAGGGUGCAAGCGUUAAUCGGAAUUACUGGGCGUAAAGCGCACGUAGGCUGUUUAUUAAGUCAGGGGUGAAAUCCCACGGCUCAACCGUGGAACUGCCUUUGAUACUGGUAGACUUGAGUAUGGGAGAGGUUAGUGGAAUUCCAGGUGUAGGAGUGAAAUCCGUAGAUAUCUGGAGGAACAUCAGUGGCGAAGGCGACUAACUGGCCCAAAACUGACGCUGAGGUGCGAAAGCGUGGGGAGCAAACA
rnacentral:rRNA from 1 species